rnacentral:misc_RNA from 1 species
GCAAAACCCAGCAAGGCUCAGCCGGAGCAAAUUAUUAUAUAUCUACCACCGUUCACAACCCCCUUGUUUCCCCUCUCUCUAUAUAUCUACCUGUGUGCUUGUGCUUGCAUCUAAUGCUUCAACACCUAUAGGUCUAUUGGUUUCCAACUGAGUUUUCUUAUACAGAGGCGAAGAAGAACUACCAUGGACAAAGAAAACGCCUAUAGUACUGAUUUUAAUUCCAGUUUCUGUUUCCCCGCUGAGUUCCCUUAUGAGUUUGAUUCGUUUGGUUCCUGUGCUUUAAGCUUCCCGGUUGAAUCCGUUGAGGGUUCCACCGAGACGGAGAGCAGUGACGAGGAUGAUUUCCUAGUUGGCUUGACUCGACGCAUGACUCAGCAACUCGCUGUUGAGCCUAACAAGAAAAAGUGGGUCAUGGCCGGGUCACCUGAAUCGACACUCGGUGGAAUUGGAAGUUGGUCGCUUUCAAGCAACGGCAGUUCAAACGGUGAGAUUUCCCCUCCGAAGACGUCCUUUGGGGUGAAAGGUGAUCUGGGGGACCUGAUAUAUGCGGCUGCUGGUCCUGUAUCGAGGUUAAAGAUGACUAAUGAAAGCAUCAGGAACAGUUGUUAUCAAGGGAGGGUAUUGCUGGGUCCUGCAAGGGGCCAAAAUCCAGAAACUGUAGGGGAAAAUAGGAGUACUGGGUUUUUGUCGAGCCAUAGUUUUGGUCACAGUAUUUGGGGGUUGAAUCAGUAUCAAUUGAAGCAAGAACAAGUGCCAAAGCCCUUGUGCCCCGCAGUUUGGGGAAGGCAGCAAGUGAAGGAAGGCUGGCAAGAUGAGCAUCAGCACCAGCAACAGUACCAAAUCCAGAAGACAGGGAGAAGCAUUCUGGGCUAUGAAAAUGAGAGAUGUAUGCGUCCUCUGGGUCUUCCUCAGUCUGCUUGGCCUCCUCUUCAAGUGCAACCAAAUCAUCACAUGCACCAACACUAUUAUUCAGCCAAGAGAGCUACUUUUCUCGGUGGCUCUUGUGCUAGAAAAGAGUGUGCUGGAACUGGCGUUUUCUUGCCUCGCAGAUGUGUCAUUCCCGCUGAUUGUAAGAAGAAAUCAGGUAUAGUUAACUGGUGCUAUGAUCUUGCUCAUCUUUUGCAUACUUCAGGGACUUUUUUGGGCAUCUCUAAUAAAUUAUAUUAUUCCACCUCAUUUUAGGCCUACAUUUGAUCCUGGUCUGCAAAUCUUUGUUACCCUUUAGGCUGUUUGCGGUUUUUGAACUCAAAAAUUAACAUGAAGUGCUAAAAUUUUUCUUGUAUCCCCAGCUUGCUCCACAGUUCUGGUCCAAGCCAAGGUUGUUCAGGCUCUAGAUUUGAACCUUAAGGACAUGAACAUCCAAGAUGCUUUGAUGGCAAGAAAUGGGCUAUUGGCGCAACAGAAGGGAAAUUUACAGGCAGAGAGUGUCCUCAAUAAUCAAGAAAUUUGCUUACCUCAAGAGUGGAUGUAUUGACCCAAGAAUUCAACGUGGAAGCUUACAAGAAACCAAGAAUUGCUUUGUUAGACAAGUAUAGAAAGAUUCAAUUAAAGAAAUUCAAGAAUGCAAGUUUAGCCUACAAAUAAAUAAAAGCAAUAAGAAAUCCUGGUAUUUUUUCAAGGGAGAAGUUUGCAGCAAUUACUGGGCAUAGUGUGUUAGAUAAGAAAAUAGCAGCAAGAAAGAAAAGUAGCAAUAGAAGAAGAAAUUAUAUUUUAAUCCUCAAAAAUACUAAGAAGAACAGGUUAUGGUUAUUGUUAUUGGUGGGUAUUUUAUUUUAUUGAAAUUAUGGUGAAUAAUAUGUAUUUAUUUUUAUUUAUUUUGGGGGAUCUUAUUAAGGAUUUGUUUUUUCUUAGAAAAAGAAUUGUGAUGCUAUAGAUUGAAUUCCUGAGAGAGAUUUAAGCAUUGUACUAUUCAUUCAAUGGGUUUUCAACACUUAUUUUAAGACAGUGAUGAACUUAUUUAAAUUAUUUCUGUAUUGAGCUUUUUAUUUUAG